rnacentral:rRNA from 1 species
UGGGGAAUAUUGGACAAUGGGGGGAACCCUGAUCCAGCAAUGCCGCGUGUGUGAAGAAGGCCUGAGGGUUGUAAAGCACUUUCAGUGGGGAGGAGGGUUGACGGGUUAAGAGCUGGUUGACUGGACGUUACCCACAGAAGAAGCACCGGCUAACUCCGUGCCAGCAGCCGCGGUAAUACGGGGGGUGCAAGCGUUAAUCGGAAUUACUGGGCGUAAAGGGUGCGUAGGUGGUUUGAUAAGUUAUCUGUGAAAGCCCUGGGCUCAACCUGGGAAGGCCAGAUAAGACUGUUGGACUCGAGUACGGGAGAGGGUAGUGGAAUUUCCGGUGUAGCGGUGAAAUGCGUAGAGAUCGGAAGGAACACCAGUGGCGAAGGCGGCUACCUGGCCUGAUACUGACACUGAGGCACGAAAGCGUGGGGAGCAAACAGGAUUAGAUACCCACGUAGUCCCUGAGCGGGCUGGCAAGGCGCAU